GAGCUGGGUUUAGAACGUCGUGAGACAGUUCGGUCCCUAUCCGCUGCGUGCGUAGGAAAUUUGUGGAGGCCUGUCCUUAGUACGAGAGGACCGGGACGGACGAACCUCUGGUGUGCCAGUUGUACCGCCAGGUGCAUGGCUGGUUGGCUACGUUCGGGAAGGAUAACCGCUGAAAGCAUCUAAGCGGGAAGCCUGCUUCGAGAUGAGAUUUCCAACCCCACUUGUUGGGGGUGAGGUGUCCUAUAGAUUAUGGGUUUGAUAGGCCGGGUAUGGAAGCACUGUAAGGUGUGGAGUUGACUGGUACUAAUACGCCGAUCACUCAUACAACCAUUUUUUGUUGGU
rnacentral:rRNA from 1 species